CGACCCUUGCGGAAGAGAAGCCAGGAGAUGGCGGUGCGUGAGAGGGUUGUGUAGAAUCGCACGGCAUCCUCCGCAGCCAUGAUUCCCAGGGGGACGCCGGUCCACGGUUUGCGCAAGAGGCCGGGCCGGGUUUCGAGCGCCUCUCGCCAGGCUCGGAGUGACAGCAAGUAUGGGCAACGGCUACAAUGGAAGAGACUGAGCAUGCGGAUAAGAAAAGUCCUAGGGCUUCAGCGGCUGCUGCUGAGCACGUUGAAAGGGCGGGUGGGAGCUGCGCAGCUUCCAGAAAGCAGGGCAGAGCAGGCGGUUUCUUUAAGGAAAGGAAGCGAACGCAGUUUUCCCAGUUUGCCAAACGAAGCAAAAUAGAAACCCACAGUUCUGUGCAUCUGAGAAUCCUCUUCUGGAGGAGCUGACUUCAUUUUGGACCCGGGGGUUUGGAGACGCUGGGUUCAAAGAUGCUCCUUAGCAUCUGCCGUCUGAUUAUCUUGAGACCCAAGUGAAGACCAGAAGAGGCUGAUGUUGCAGGCCUGGGAUGGGACAAAUUUGAUAGGCAACUCAAGGAAGUGAGGAAUGCUGUGUGUGAAAAGCCUGUGAUGUGAUGUUAUCCCUGUCUGAAAGCUCAGCCCUGAGGGAAAAUACCUGUUGACUGAGGCUUGUCCAUUUUGCUGUCCCAUAACAGUUUUCAAUAACAAGUCACAGCGCAUGACUAAACCCUGUUAAAUUGCUGCAAUGUGGGAAGAAAACAAACUGACUUUGCACGAAACAGUGAUUUCUUUUUGAAAGAAGCAUGAAUAGGAUACCCGCUCAACAAUGCAGCAUUAUUUAUUAUUACUGGUGCUGGUGGUUAAAAUAGUCUGGAGAACAGAGCUGCCCUUUCCUGUGUUUUGCUUCCCUGCUCUAAACAUCAGGUGCCUAAUUCAGGCAACGUACAAGACGACAGCCAAAGGCUAAAGAGAAAUGUGGAUGAUGAAGAAGCUUGCCUCUCAGAGGCAUGAAGUUCUUACGAAGACGCUUAAAGGGUGUGGCAUCAAAUAUGCAGCCAUUUUACUGCCUUUUGGAUCAUUGUAGGGGGGAGGAUCAGACAAAUCUUUUAAUAAAUGAAAUAAAUUAACUUUG